GUUUUAAUAGUUUAAUUUAAAACCUUGGUCUUGUAAACCAAUAAUGAAAUAAAUUUUUCUUAAAACU